rnacentral:rRNA from 1 species
GUACACACCGCCCGUCACACCACGAAAGUUGUUUGCACCAGAAGUCACUGAGCUAACCGCAAGGAGGCAGGUGCCCAAGGUGUGAGCAAUGAUUGGGGUGAAGUCGUAACAAGGUUUCCGUAGGUGAACCUGCAGAAGGAUCA